CCUAACACAUGCAAGUCGAGCGGUAGAGAGAAGCUUGCUUCUCUUGAGAGCGGCGGACGGGUGAGUAAUGCCUAGGAAUCUGCCUGGUAGUGGGGGAUAACGUUCGGAAACGAACGCUAAUACCGCAUACGUCCUACGGGAGAAAGCAGGGGACCUUCGGGCCUUGCGCUAUCAGAUGAGCCUAGGUCGGAUUAGCUAGUUGGUGAGGUAAUGGCUCACCAAGGCGACGAUCCGUAACUGGUCUGAGAGGAUGAUCAGUCACACUGGAACUGAGACACGGUCCAGACUCCUACGGGAGGCAGCAGUGGGGAAUAUUGGACAAUGGGCGAAAGCCUGAUCCAGCCAUGCCGCGUGUGUGAAGAAGGUCUUCGGAUUGUAAAGCACUUUAAGUUGGGAGGAAGGGCAGUUACCUAAUACGUGAUUGUUUUGACGUUACCGACAGAAUAAGCACCGGCUAACUCUGUGCCAGCAGCCGCGGUAAUACAGAGGGUGCAAGCGUUAAUCGGAAUUACUGGGCGUAAAGCGCGCGUAGGUGGUUUGUUAA
rnacentral:rRNA from 1 species